UACCAGCACCCCGAGUGGUCGGGACGAUUAUUGGGCCUAAAGCAUCCGUAGCCGGUUCUGCAAGUCUUCCGUUAAAUCCAUCUGCUUAACAGAUGGGCUGCAGAGGAUACUAUAGAGCUAGGAGGCGGGAGAGGCAAGCGGUACUUAGUGGGUAGGGGUAAAAUUCGUAGAUAUUCGCAAGAACACCAGUGGCGAAGGCGGCUCACUGGCCCGGUACUGACGCUGAGGCACGAAAGCGUGGGGAGCAAACAGG
rnacentral:rRNA from 1 species